UGCAACCAUAGACAGUCACAUAC
rnacentral:piRNA from 1 species